AUGGCAAAAACCAGUGCUUCAGUUGUUCUAGCUGUCCUUGUUGUAGAAUUAUUUCUGAAUGGCUAUAAUGCUGCUGAGAGUGUAGAAAGAGGUUAUCAACCUGAGAAAGGAGUUGACGGAUUGAUACAUUGCUUUCUCGUAUCAUGUCCUGCUAUUUACUGUUCAAAAUUUUGUGUGUUAAGAGGCUUCCCUAGAGGUGGUUCUUGCUUAGGAGGAUCCUCUGGAUCGUGUUGUUGCUUUGGAGAUGCCUAA
rnacentral:lncRNA from 1 species